rnacentral:rRNA from 1 species
AUUGAACGCUGGCGGCAGGCUUAACACAUGCAAGUCGAGCGGAGUGAUGGUGCUUGCACUAUCACUUAGCGGCGGACGGGUGAGUAAUGCUUAGGAAUCUGCCUAUUAGUGGGGGACAACAUCUCGAAAGGGAUGCUAAUACCGCAUACGUCCUACGGGAGAAAGCAGGGGAUCACUGGUGACCUUGCGCUAAUAGAUGAGCCUAAGUCGGAUUAGCUAGUUGGUGGGGUAAAGGCCUACCAAGGCGACGAUCUGUAGCGGGUCUGAGAGGGUGAUCCGCCACACUGGGACUGAGGCACGGCCCAGACUCCUACGGGAGGCAGCAGUGGGGAAUAUUGGACAAUGGGGGGAACCCUGAUCCAGCCAUGCCGCGUGUGUGAAGAAGGCCUUAUGGUUGUAAAGCACUUUAAGCGAGGAGGAGGCUCUUUUGGUUAAUACCCAAGAUGAGUGGACGUUACUCGCAGAAUAAGCACCGGCUAACUCUGUGCCAGCCGCCGCCGUAA